UAUAUGCCGGUUAGUGGAUGGCUCGGUUCGAGAGCUGAUGAAGGGCGUGCCAAGCAGCGAUAUGCUCCGGGAAGGUGCAGGGAGCCUGUGAUCCGGAGAUCCCCGAAUAGGACAUCCCGAUACUUCGGUAUCAAUCCGUUGAGGAUGGGGAACGCCCCGAAUUGAAACAUCUUAGUAGGGGCAGGAAAAGAAAUCAACCGAGAUGUCGCGAGUAGAGGCGAUCGAAAACGACACAGUUCAAACCGAAUCCCUUUGGGGAGAUGUGGUGUUGUAAGCCUCCCGUCUGGUGCAGAUAUCUCAAACGGAAGUCACCUGGAAUGGUGUUCCUGAGAGGGUGAAAGACCCGUACGUAUACCGAUAUCUGUUCCUGGGAGUGUCUUGAGUAGUGCGGGUCGGAAUUCUCGCAUGAAUCCGGGGGUCAUCAACCUCCAAAACUAAAUACUUCUCGAAACCGAUAGCGAACUAGUAGCGUGAGCGAAAGCUGAAAAGUAUCCCUAAAAAGGAUGUGAAAAGCGCCUGAAACUAACCGGUGACAGUGUGUUAUGGCAUGCAAGGAACUUCUGCGCGAAAGAACCCGUCGCGAGGCGGUAGUAUGGGCGACAGUUGCCGAUGUCAUAACGUACGUUUUGAAGAACGGGCCAGAGAGUUUAUUCUAUAGGCGAGGUUAACCCGGAAGGGGAGCCGAAGCGAAAGCAACAGGUUCGUAGCAUUUAUGCAUGGAACGGCGUAUUCAACGUGCGUGGAGUCUAUAGGGUAAGACCCGAAACCCGGUGAUCUAUGCGUGGGCAGGUUGAAGCGUGCCGAAAGGUGCGUGGAGGACCGCAGGCGGUUUUGAUAUGCAAAUCAUUCGCGUGACCUGCGUAUAGGAGUGAAAGAUUCAUCGAACCGGGAAUCAGCUGGUUCCCCUCGAAACAUGCCGCAGCAUGACCUCGUCGGAGAUGGUUGGUGAGGUAGAGCACUGAUUGAGGAUCCCGGGGGAGAAAUCCCUCGCUCUUCUGUCAAACUCCAAACUCCCCAACGUCUGAGAUGACGGGUAGUCCGGACUACGGGGUAAGCUUGUAGUCCGUAAGGGAGACAACCCAGACCGUGGUUNNNNNCCUUUAAAAAGUGCGUAACAGCUUACCAGUCAAGGUUUGGGGCGCAGAAAAUGGACGGGGCUAAAGCCUACUGCAGAGACCACGGCGCACCGGUUAACCCGGUGAUCGCGUAGAGGGGCGUUCUGCAUGGACAGAAGCAGGGGCGUAAGGUCCUGUGGACCGUGCAGAAAUGAGAAUUCUGGCAGUAGUAGAAGCAUAGAACGGUGAGAAUCCGUUCCGCCGAAAGGGCUAGGUUUCCUCGGCAAUGUUCGUCAGCCGAGGGUUAGUCGGUCCUAAGAUGUGCCGUAACUCGAGCAUGUCAACAGGGAAACAGGUUAAUAUUCCUGUACCAUACAUUCGUAGUCGUAAGACCCUGACGCUUCGGGAUAUACCAUGCGAAAUUGUCGUUUCGUUCAAGCGUUCAAAGCGGUGGAGUACCGUCAUGGUGAGAAACCGCAGAAGACGUGAUGAGGUAACAUGGUCAACUCCUGGAGCCCGUGAAAAAGGGAGUGUAUGUCCGUACUGAGAACCGACACAGGUGCCCCUGGUUGAAAAGACCAAGGCGUAUCGGAGCUAAUUGUGGUAAGGGAACUCGGCAAAAUGGCCCCGUAACUUCGGGAGAAGGGGUGCCUGCCUGGUGAUCAGGCAGGUCGCAGUGACCAGGGAACUCCAACUGUCUAAUAACAACACAGCAGACUGCAACUCCGUAAGGACUCGUAUAGUCUGUGAAUCCUGCCCAGUGCGGGUAUCUGAACACCGAGUACAAUCGGACGAAGGACCCGUAAACGGCGGGGGUAACUAUGACCCUCUUAAGGUAGCGUAGUACCUUGUCGCUUAAUUGGCGACUUGCAUGAAUGGAACAAUGAGAGUUCUACUGUCCCUACCACAAAUCCGUUGAACCUUUUAUCCUAGUGCAGAAACUAGGGACUCCUGAUGGGAAGUGAAGACCCCGUGGAGCUUUACUGCAGCCUGUCGUUGUAGUACGGUAUUGCAUGCGCAGAGUAGAUGGGAGAUGUUAAUCCGUUCCUUCCGGGGAACGGGGAGUCAACAAUGAGACACCAUCCUUGCUCUGCUGUACUACUCACUCUUCUUGAAUGAAGAGGACAUCGGUAGGUGGGCAGUUUGGGUGGGGCGCCACACCCUCGAAAAAAUAUCAAGGGUGCCCUAAGGUCAACUCAUGUGAGUCAGAAACUCACAGAAGAGUGUCAAGAGCAUACGUUGGCCUGACGCUAUGACGCAAAGCAAGUCAUGGCGAGAGGAAACUCGGGUCUAACGAACCAAUACGCCCUGUUGAUGAGGGCUAUUGACUACAGAAAAGCUACCCCGGGGAUAAUAGAGUCGUCGCCGGCAAGAGCACAUAUCGACCCGGCGGCUUGCUACCUCGAUGUCGGUUCUUUCCAUCCUGGCCGUGCAGCAUCGGCCAAGGGUGAGGUUGUUCGCCUAUUAAAGGAGAUCGUGAGCUGGGUUUAGACCGUCGUGAGACAGGUCGGUUACUAUCUAUCAGGAGUGUUCGGAGUCUGAGGGCAAGAAAGAAAUAGUACGAGAGGAACUUUCUUUCGUCGCCUCUGGUGUAUCGGUUGUCCGACAGGGCAGCGCCGAGCAGCUACGCGGCAAGAGAUAAAAGCUGAAAGCAUCUAAGCUUGAAACUCAGCCUGAAAAGAGACUCCGUUAUAGGGCACGGGUAAAAGACCCGGUUAAUAGGCCCGGGAUGUACGCACGAAGGCAACGACGUGUUGAGUCCGGCGGGUACUAACGCCCAAAUCCAGGAAC
rnacentral:rRNA from 1 species